rfam:Drosophila simulans chromosome 3R, whole genome shotgun sequence.
ACCUUCCUUGUCUUGGGGAGCAGAAAUGUUCAAUGAACGUCUAGUGAGGACAUUGCUGCUGACACCAAUGAUAUCACCCCCGCUCGCCGAUCGUUCGCGAUUGGAGUUCGGAAUUUUUGGACCA